rnacentral:rRNA from 2 species
ACGUUCGUUCAUACCAUGCGGAGUGCACUAUGAUCCAUUCGAACCAUAAAGUUAAGCCGCAUCGGGCCCGCCUAGUACUAUCGUGGGGGACCAGAUGGGAAGCGCGGGUGACGAACGUU